ACACCGGGGAACGAACCUAGGAGAUAUGCAAGGUUGUGUAUGAAGACAACUGUAAACCUCACGAAGGUCGUGAGGUUUUUGAAUGUAGCCAACUUCCUCCUGGCGACCCGGUCCCAAGAGUGCGGCCCUGUCUCUUCUCCCUCGGUUAAUCUGCGAAUUCAAGACUCCCAUGGAUGGAAGACACUGAUUGCCUCUUUCCGGGUCAGCUAACACUGGGCCAAUAAACUGGAGCCAAGGACAAGGUCA